UUCAUUCCACCUUCCUGAGCAGCACUGGUAUGUCCCAUCCACAUCUGAUCAGGGAAAAAGGAGGAAUAAAGGACCCCCCUUAGGUAGAGUCCAGGCAUUGGAAACAGCUGAGAUGCGUUCUAGAAAGCCGUGAAGAGAAUGGACUGGAACGAAGAGAAACUGAAAGUAGAGAAGGUGAUUAGAAAGUUAUCAAGAAUGACCAAGUGAGAAGCGAUGAAGACGUGAAGUAAAGCAACACCAUGCGGAAAGACAGAAGACAAUGGAAGAUAAAAGAGACUACUAGAAGCAAGGGAAGGGGAAGGG